rnacentral:rRNA from 1 species
AACUGCCAGGACCAUCUGGUAAGGCUAAAUACUCCUGAGAGACCGAUAGUGAACUAGUACCGUGAGGGAAAGGUGAAAAGCACCUCGAAUAGAGGAGUGAAAUAGUACCUGAAACCAUGCGCUUACAAACGGUUGGAGCCACCUUGUGUGGUGACAGCGUGCCUUUUGCAUAAUGAGCCUACGAGUUACUCCUCACUAGCAAGGUUAAGUUCCUUAGGAACGGAGCCGAAGCGAAAGCAAGUCUGAAUAGGGCGAUUGAGUUAGUGGGGGUAGACGCGAAACCUGAUGAUCUAUCCAUGGCCAGGUUGAAGUAACAGUAACAUGUUAUGGAGGACCGAACCAGUUGACGUUGAAAAGUCUUUGGAUGAGCUGUGGAUAGGGGUGAAAGGCCAAUCAAAUUGGGAAAUAGCUCGUACUCUCCGAAAUGCAUUUAGGUGCAGCCUCGAGUACAAGUGUCAUAGAGGUAGAGCUACUGAUAAGGCUAGAGGGCUUCACCGCCUAUCAACCCUUGAUAAACUCCGAAUGCUAUGACAUGUUCCUCGGGAGUGAGGCCAUGGGUGCUAAGGUCCGUGGCCAAAAGGGAAAGAACCCAGACCAUCAGCUAAGGUCCCCAAGUAUAUGCUAAGUUGAACUAACGUAGUGCGAUUGCUCUGACAGCUAGGAUGUUGGCUUGGAAGCAGCCAUUCAUUUAAAGAGUGCGUAACAGCUCACUAGUCGAGCGAUUGUGCGUGGAUGAUAAUCGGGCAUAAGCAUAUCACCGAAGCUAUGGACUCAUGACUUAAGUUAUGAGUGGUAGGAGAGCAUUCCAGUUGCGCCGAAGGUGGAUCGUAAGGUCUGCUGGAGCGGCUGGAAAAGAAAAUGUAGGCAUAAGUAACGAUAAAGCAGGUGAGAAACCUGCUCGCCGAAAAACUAAGGUUUCCGGAUCAACGCUAAUCGGAUCCGGGUUAGUCGGGUCCUAAGGCGAAACCGAAAGGUGUAGUCGAUGGACAACUGGUUAAUAUUCCAGUACUACCUAAUACUGCGAUGGGAUGACGGAGUAGUGAAAGGUCCGCGUGCUGACGGAAUAGCACGUUAAAGGUUGUAGGUAUAUCUCCGGGUUAAUAGCUUGGAGAUGCUGAAACUGAUAGUACCGUGAGCCUUCGGGCAAGCGGAUAGUGACCCUAAGCAGACUUCCUAGAAAAACCCCUAAGCUUCAGGUAUUAGGUACCCGUACCGUAAACCGACACAGGUAGUUGAGGAGAGAAUCCUAAGGCGCUCGAGUGAUUCAUGGUUAAGGAACUAGGCAAAAUGACCCCGUAACUUCGGGAGAAGGGGUGCCAUCGCAAGAUGGCCGCAGAGAAAUAGCCCAGGCGACUGUUUAUCAAAAACACAAGGCUUUGCGAAAUCGAAAGAUGAUGUAUAAGGCCUGACACCUGCCCGGUGCUGGAAGGUUAAGAGGGGGGGUUAUUCCUUCGGGAAGAAGCUCUGAAUCGAAGCCCCAGUAAACGGCGGCCGUAACUAUAACGGUCCUAAGGUAGCGAAAUUCCUUGUCGGGUAAGUUCCGACCUGC